GCUGGGCGUGGUGGUGCAUGCCUGUAAUCCCAGCUGCUCGGGAGGCUAAGGCAGGAGGAUGGUGAGUUCAAAGCCAGCCUCAU
rnacentral:sRNA from 1 species